UACAGAGGGUGCGAGCGUUAAUCGGAAUUACUGGGCGUAAAGCGUGCGUAGACGGUAGCGUAAGUCAGAUGUGAAAGCCCCGGGCUCAACCUGGGAAUUGCAUUUGAGACUACUCUGCUCGGGUGCGGAAGAGGGAAGCGGAAUUUCCGGUGUAGCGGUGAAAUGCGUAGAUAUCGGAAGGAACACCAGUGGCGAAAGCGGCUUCCUGGUCCGACACCGACGUUCAGGCACGAAAGCGUGGGGAGCAAACAGG
rnacentral:rRNA from 1 species